GGAGGGGUGGCCGAGUGGUCGAAGGCGCACGCCUGGAAAGUGUGUAUACCUCAAAAGGGUAUCGUGGGUUCGAAUCCCACCCCCUCCGCCA
rnacentral:tRNA from 1 species